rnacentral:RNase_P_RNA from 1 species
GAAGUCCGAAACACGGCCGCUGUCCGUCCUUUACGGGCGGAUGGAGGAAAGUCCGGGCUCCGUAGAGCAAGAUGCUGGCUAACGGCCAGUGGGGGCGACCCUAAGGAUAGUGCCACAGAAAAUAUACCGCCGAUGGCCUUCGGGCACAGGUAAGGGUGAAAAGGUGGGGGCCCUGCGGGGCCUUAAUGUAAGAGCCCACCGCGGUUCUGGUGACAGAACCGGCACGGCAAACCCCAUCUGGAGCAAGUCCAAGUAAGGCGGCGUUGAGGCUGCUCGCUUAGCCGCCGGGUAGGAUGCUUGAGGAUGCCGGUGACGGCAUUCCUAGAUUGAUGACCGUGGCUUUCCCGCUUGCGGGGAAGUACAGAACCCGGCUUAUUGAAGACUUCGGCC